rnacentral:rRNA from 1 species
UACGUAGGGGGCAAGCGUUGUCCGGAUUUAUCGGGCGUAAAGAGCGUGUAGGCGGCCGCACAGGUCCGUUGUGAAAACUGGAGGCUUAACCUUCAGACGUCGAUGGAAACCGUGCGGCUAGAGUCCGGAAGAGGAGAAUGGAAUUCCUGGUGUAGCGGUGAAAUGCGCAGAUAUCAGGAAGAACACCCGUGGCUAAGGCGGUUCUCUAGUACGGUACUGACGCUGAGACGCGAAAGCGUGGGGAGCGAACAGG